UCACUUUUAAAACAAUGAGGUUUUAUUAUUUCCAAUUACUUACAGCAAGUAACUGCAUCUAACUACCAUCAAAGCAUUACUAGAAAUGUUAGAAAUCUACUAGAAAUAACUAGAAAUCUGCCAAGCUAGAUAUAUAGAGUACAUGUUAGUAUAAUCAAGUUUUAUUUUGUUGGAAGGGACCUGUAUUAUUCAGGAUUCUUUCUGUUUCAAAUAAUUUUUAAAAACUGAACUCAAACUGGCUUAAAAAUGAAAGGGAAUGUCUUGACACACAGAACUUAAAAAUCCAGAGGUUAAUCUGGCUUCAGACAUUAUUAGAUGUAUGGGCUAAAAAAAGAGCCAGGACUCAGUCUCCCUCUCUCCACUGCUUGGCUAUAGUUUCCUCUGUAUUGGUGUCAUUCUCAGGCAAGCCCUACCCGACUUGCUAGCAAGAUAGUUGCCAGAAGUUCUGGGCCUACCUCUUACCCUUUCAGCAACCUGUAAAGGAAACGAUUUCUUUUUCCCAAUAGUUUCCUUAAAAGUCUUAGGACUGCUUCAAAUUUUCCGAGCGUGGACCAUGUGCCCUUUCUUGGCCAACGAGAUAAAAGUCACUGAAUGUCU
rnacentral:lncRNA from 10 species